UAAGUAAGACAGACAAUCGCGGCUGCGGGAGCUGAAAAGCUGCAGACGAGGAAAGUCCGGGCUUCACAGGGCAGGAUGCCGGAUAACGUCCGGUGGAGGUGACUCCAAGGCCAGUGCAACAGAAAUAAACCGCCGGGGAAACCCGGUAAGGGUGGAAAGGCAGUGUAAGAGACUACCGCCACGCUUUAGGUAGGUCGCUCGAGCCUGGUGGCGACAUCAGGCCUAGAUAGAUGAUUGUCCAACGACAUAACCCGGCUUAUCGUCUUGCUUAACCA
rnacentral:RNase_P_RNA from 1 species